GUGAGAUAGGAAGAGGAAUAAAUAGUUUAAGAGCGGUGAGAAUGGGAACACACGGGAAACCUUGAGCUAUCUGUCUGCGCCUCUGGAACCAAAGGUGGAUAUCUUUAUUAUUGUUUCCCAUGUCUCCCACUCCUAUUGUUCUUAGGUUCUCGUUCCCCUUCCUAUUGGAA
rfam:Triticum aestivum genome assembly, contig: Triticum_aestivum_CS42_TGACv1_scaffold_425192_5BS